UGGCCCCCUGAAAGAGGACGAUGAACUAGAUCAGUGAUGGCGAACCUUUUAGAGACCGAGUGCCCAAACUGCAACCCAAAACCCACUUUUUUAUCGCAAAGUGCCGAAACGGUAAUUCACCCUGAAUAAUACAGUCCAGUAUAGUGUAUCUUCCAUGUACUUUAUCAUUUAGCUAUAAUACCCUGCCUACAUUCAGUGCGCUGCCUGCGCUGUUCAUAGUGCGCCCUGCGCUGAUGAAUGGCAGGCAAAGUCUA